AUUGAUAAUGACUUCAGUUUUGUACGCAACAAAACAAAACAAAACAUCAUUAUAUAUUAUUUUAGACAUGGAUUAUAUAGUUAAGGAAUUAGGUAUAAGUAAUAAGAAUAUAUUCCCCACUGCCUCACCUGGCCUUUACUCCGUCGUCGUCCACACGAGCUGGCUGAAGAAAUGGAUAAAGAACCUCGAAAUAGAUACCUCGCUAAACAAUGUAGAUUUUACCUUGCAGCCUGGUGAAAGUGUACCUUAUCCGUGGCGAAAAAUAUUUAUGAGGGUGUUGAGUAAAAAAGUAUCCAAGGUUCUUCCUCUGCCUCGAUUCAAACUCAACGAGAACACGAACGAUACUCCCCUCACAUUCUCUCAACUGCUGCAAUAUGUCUCACAAAGUAACCAAAGAACAUUAUGGAAAGAAUCUUAUAAGAAGUACUGUCAGAAUAAUGAAGGCAGCAAGGAAAGUACCAUAGUGAAUCUAUUGGAGCAUGACCAGCUCAUGUCCGAGGUCGUGCUGCGCUUGUACGGAUGUAAUAUAAUUAGAGUUAAGUGCGAUGCAACUGGCAAGCAUAUAGAGUACAAAGAGAUUAUACCUAAUAAGCACAUCCUAAAAAUGUAUGAAACUCAUGGCAAUCUACUAGCAGCUAUGUUUACUAUAGAAACAGACAAUAACUUCUUCAUAGUGUACAGAGGUCAAUAUGAUAAUACUCUUCUAGAUUGUUUGAAUUUCAGCCCUAAUUUAAUAGACAUGAAUUACAGCCGAGGUUUGUUUAUUGUGUACCAGUUGUUGAAUUUGUCAAAGGCUAUGAGCGACAGAGGAUUAAGUAUAGGCAUGCUUACUCUUGAAGAUAUUUAUUUGUCUGAGAACUUGUGGAUCCAAGUGGUGCCUAUGAUAACAAAUAACAUACAUUGUUUGGAUGCCUCCCUGAUUAUUGAGCAUAAUAGAAGUAAGCAGACUACUCCUGCAAACAGUCAAGGCCCUCCUAGUAAAAAAGGGGAGGAGUGGUGUUGGAGAAAGGAGGCGGUCCAGUUAGAAAAGCUGUGUAUGCUUUGGGUGAGAGGCCGGAUAUCUAACCUGGAUUAUCUUCUACACCUGAAUAUGUUAGCUGGAAGAUCUGCUAAUGAUCCCCAAGCUCAUUUCAUGGUCCCAUGGGUGACUGAUUUCUCAUCGAGAUGUGGCAGGAACUGGCGCGACCUCAGUAAGUCGAAGUACCGGCUGAACAAGGGCGACAGACAGCUCGACAUGACAUAUGACGUCAGCAGCUGCACCGAUCAGAUACCGCAUCACGUUUCCGACGCCCUCUCCGAUAUUACGUGCUACGUAUAUUUAGCGCGCAGAACACCAAAAGAGGUCCUAUGUAAACACGUGAGGAACAAAUGGGUGCCGGCAGAGUACCCCGCGUCGGUGCAACGGAUGCAGGAGUGGACGCCGGACGAGUGCAUACCCGAGUUCUAUACUGACCCCACUGUUUUUAAGAGCAUACAUGAAGAUUUGCCGGAUCUGGGUAUUCCAUCGUGGGCGACGUGUGUGGAAGACUUUAUAACAAAACACAGGGAAGCGUUGGAGAGUACACAUGUGUCGGAGAACCUUCACCAUUGGAUUGAUAUUACCUUUGGAUACAAACUAUCUGGCCCAGCAUCCAUAAAGGCUAAGAACGUAUGUCUCUCACUGGUGGACGGGCACACGCGGCUGCGUCGCGGCGGCGCCGUGCAGCUGCUGUGUGCCCCCCACCCGCCCCGCGCCGCCCGCGCGCUGCCCCCCGCGCCGCCCCGCCUGCACUGGACUGCGGCUAAGGAUGCUAAAAAAGCCCUUCGAAACGACAGUUCCGACGACAUUUCGGAUGACGAAGAAGAAUCUACCAGCUUACCUCAACACGUUUCCCGGCUAAAUGUUCCUCCCCAACGCGUCAGAUCUCGACAUAAGAGCAGCAGUCGAGCUCGUUCCCUAUCCAAGAGCCAGGGUCUUGAAGACUCUCACACAGUCUCCGAAGGUCGAGCUUCCUCCCACUCUCGACACUACAGGGUCCAAAGGUCAGAACUAGGAAAAGGCGUCAUAUAUCUCCCAAAAGAAUUCAACCCAGUAGCCUCUAUUCAAGCCAUAGAGUCCCUCGAUAACUUCAGAACGAAAUGCUUCUUCACCAAAGCUGAUGAUAAAGAGAAACAUAGAGAAAAUGUCACCACUUUGAACCUGUACCCGGUACAGCAAGAUAUGAGGCAAGAUAGUACCACAUCAACUAAAGAAGGGUCCGAUGAUACGGCGUUUACGAAUCACAUGUUUUUAGCGUCCUACGAUCAAAGUUAUCUGAAGAAAUUCACGCAAGAUGCUCACUUAGAAAGUGUACUCAAGGAAAGGAAGAAUAGGUCCUUCAAUACUCGGUACACCACAGAUGCGGCGAUUUACAAGCAAUUUGUUACAGAGAGUCGAAGGCAAGACAUGUUGGUCAUAGGCUGUUUGAUUGUAGAAAUAUUCCUUCACACAUACAUGAGACCGCUUAGAACGCCCACCGAUAACUUCUUAGAACGAUACAAUAAUUGCCGGACUGUGUUAAAACAUAACUUCAAUGCGUUACCAAGAAGUGUUAGUUACGUGGCCUCAUUACUGCUAAACGUUCAACCCCCUUGCUUAUCUUACAAGAACGAGUUAACUCCCAAAAAGGAGGAGCCAUUAAAGAAGAUUUUAGUUACCGAUAAAGGGUUGCCAGCACCCACUCCUGCGCAACUACUCCAACCGUUAUUAAUGCAACACUUAAUACCAUUCCCGCAAAGCUUUAAUAUUUUAUACAAGUUACUGAAUACGUUGCAUGAAUAUGAUCUCACGAGCACCGAACUGAACAUACUAUACAUGUACGAAUGUGACGGGGUUCAAUGUGAGAAGUACCAAAAUGUCGAUAAAACAAAAUUAUACUUUAAUCAGAAAAUAGCUGAAGGAAAGAUUCAGGCUUGUGCGACACAUCUAGAUGUUCUCCUAAACCAAGUGAACUGUUACAAUCAGUUCGAUGUGCUAGAUAUAUUCCUGUCACAUUACAUAGAAUUACUUCAGAAUAAGGACACAUCAGUAUUAGCCGCGUGGUACUUAUUUGACACUGUGAGCAAAGCCUUAGGUCCUGCAGAGACGAGGAAAAAGUUGCUUAAACAUAUUCUGAAUUUGUACGAAGAUGAUGAUUUUGCUGUGGAUAAACCAGAUCAGCAUAAGUUGACAGAUGUUGACAGUUUAACUCUCGCUGGAGGUGUAUCAAAUAAGCAGAAGUUCGUGAAACUCUAUCACAAUAUAUUCCUUCUUCAAUUGAUGGUCAGAUUAGGUCUUCAGUGCUUCUUAGAUAAUUUUACCCAACAUUUAGUUGAGGCAGUCGGUGGUUACAAAGACGUGACUGAGGAAGUCGGGUCUCCUGGUCAUUUAUGUCACAAUAAAGCCUUGUCCAACAAGAAGCCACGAUAUUCAGAUGAUAAUGUAAAGAAUGCUUUAUCGUCCAACACUGAUAUAUUUUCGCCGGACACUUCAUACGGGUCGGAACACGUGACCACUCCAAGUGUCGAAAAAACUGAGGCGAACGAAGGUUUGAAGGAGAAAGACAGCGAUAAUAGAAGCGAAAAUGAAUUGUUUCACUUCGAAACUGAUAAAGAUAGACUUCCUAGUAGGAGCAGUAGAAGUAAGUCUCCCGCUGAGUCUAUAGACUCUUAUAACUCUAAUACUACUCAAGAGAAUAAUAUACAUACCCCAUCGCCUUCUAUAGAUCAUGUGUCACCAAUAUCGGCGAAAUAUUUCACGCCGAACAACACAGCGCAAAAAGAACCCAACGCUUUAGUCAAUAAAGAUCAAAAUCAUGAAACCAUAACACCGGCUAACAAGCCAACAUCGCCCGUCAUAGAAAUUCCUACCAAACCGAUGUUCACGAGUUAUUUACACUUCGCGGAAGAAGACGAUUCUGAGGAGGUGGAAUUACGAAGAAAGUCUCAUGAUCCUCAAAUAAACUUGGACUUAGGGAGACAUAUGGAGAAUUCUAAAGCUUCUAGAAGUAUGAAUGAUGAUGAUUUUUCUGGUUUCAAAGACCCGAACAGUUCUAAGAUAUCAGAUAUGAGCUCGGAGAGUUUGAUCUGGUUGGCUCAUAGAUUAGGCCCGGUACUUACUUGUAGGUAUAUAACGAGGAAUUUGCUGAAGAUGUUGACUUUGUGUUAUAUUGGGAAGGAUAAUUUGGCGCCGUGGGAUAGUGAGGAGAAAGAUGAGUUCGAUGAGAUAUCGAUAGUGAAUAGUAGAGUGGUGGGAGAUAGGAAUGCGAUGAAGGUCAUCAAGUGCCUCACUUCUAUUGUCGCAAUGUACGGCGAGCAGCUGAUAAUCUUCCAAUACCUCCCGCACAUGGGUGAGCUGAUCGCGUCGUGUCGCCGCCGCCUGUCCGCGCCGCUAGAGGGCGGCGUGGUCGCGUGUCUGCAGUUAGUCAAGUAUCUACUGCCGCAUAUGUCUGAUGUUAAACUUAUGGAGCAGUUGCAGGACACAUUCCUCAAAACCAUCCUGCAACCAGCUCUCCGCCUAGCCUCCACCACUCGUUGUUCGUACCCAAGUGGGGCGGCCGCACGGUGUUCCCUCACUAGGAAACUGUUGGACGCCCUACAUGUGCUAGCCGUCAGGAUUGGACCUGAGAUGACGAGGAGGCAUCUGUGUGUACCGGCUUUGCAGAGAUUCUUCUUGGCGUUUGAUAAAGCGACUGGGAAGACAGAAAACUGGCCGAAACAAGAAGAAAGUACGCCUGAAAAGUCUUCAGACCAAGAAUCAACAGACUCGAAGCCGGAAGGGUUCCUAGAGCUAUGUCGCGACGGCACGACGGCAGAGUGGCGCGUACAAGACGGACGAGUAGUUCGAGCGGACUUACCCGACCUCGCCUGUACCCCGCCCGAUGUGUCUGAACAUCCGCAUGAUACUACUAGGUUAACGGCUCAAGAGGAACUGCUAAUGGUAUUCGACGAGGAGCUAGCGCAUCGAGCGUACACUACAUUCGCUAAGUUCAUAGGCUCCGACACCAUGGAGCGAUGCCUCAAGAACAUCGAUACUGUACGCGCGUUGUGCAGGAAGUAUGAACAUAGUCAUGCUGUUAGCUCUCCCUUCCAAAUUCGUCCCGACAAGCGGGUCCAACCGUCAUUCAGCGACGAGCCUCUAAACCGGAAGACCGAUUACUCUUCUGCCAAGCCUGAGGUCAUAAUGGACCACAUCUCCAGUUCCAACAGCUUUGGGUCCAAUGUGACCCUAGUGGGUAACAGGAUAGAUGUCGCUAGUGACGCGUGUGAUGUCGGUAAUGGACCUCAAGGUCAUGGGUUCGAUGUCGUGGCGUAUAAGGCUGAUAAUGGAGUGAGGAGUAAUAGGCACUUACGAGGCGACUGGCUAAUCUACUGGGAGCAUGAAAUCGGCCGUUCUGACAAGGAAACCCGGUUCAACCUGAAACAGAUCAAGUUGCAGACAUUCGUGGGACACACGCACUCCGUCAAGAGUAUACAUUGCCUGGAUAAUGAGAACAGUUUCAUGAGCGGGUCUAAAGACAAAACUGUAAGGUUGUGGUCUUUGAGGAAUCAGGGCGACGGCAACGCGACUACUCAAUGCAACUGGACGUACACGGGCCACAAGAAAGGCGUACUAUCGCUCACAUUCCUAGAGUCGUUACGUCUGGCGGUGUCCACUGAUUCUGUAGUCCAUAUAUGGGAUCCGUUCAUGGAGAGUGUGGUUUCUCAGUUGGACACCUUAAAGUCCCCAGUAAGCAUAGUGCGUACACUGGCGGGCCCGUCGGCCGCAGUGCUGGCGGCCACCACGGACGCCACGCUGCGGGUCAUCGAUGCUCGCUCGCCGCACACCUCGCAUGAACUGAAGUUACCAAUGAGCGCUACUACCUUCAUCCGCUGCAUGUGCGUGUGUUCGUCCGGCGGCUGGGCGGCGUGUGGGCUGGCCAGCGGACACGUGGCCGUCACCGACCUGCGGACCGGACUCACCAUCGCCACGUGGCGAGCUCAUGAUGGAGAGGUGCUAAGACUGGCAACAGUGGAUGACCACAGACUACUGAGCUCCGGGUUGGAUCAGGUCACUGCGCUGUGGAGGCCUGACGAUGGAGAACUCAUAGCUCAUCUCAAAGGCAGCACGGAACCCGUCCAUUGUCUCUCAGUGUACUACAAAGAGUUAAUAUCGGGCACCACAAACAACCGCAUCGGAGUUCACACGUCAUUAUCACAAGACGCCAGCUUUUCCAGCACUAAGCUACGGUCUGACACGUUCAGAGGAGUUCUGACGUGUAUGGCUGUGUUGCCACUUAAUAGGUUAUUACUACUGGCCAGUGAUAAUGGUACUAUCAGUCUACUGUGCUGAGUUACAGUAUAUUUUCAGUAGCUAAAGUUAAUUCUGAGGUAUCUAUUAACACAUGUCGUCUUGUUGCCACUCAAUAGGCUACUGCUGCUGAGCAGCGAUAAUAGCACCGGUACUUUGCCAAGUAACCAUAGGCCAGUGAUAAUGGCAUCAUCACUUUGCCAAGUCACCGUAGAAUUCACUUACAAAGCUUUUAAAUAAAAAAUAUAUAUAUUUCUGCGUUCAGUAUUUGCUACUGCCACAUAAGUUUCUGGCGACAAAAAUGGCACCUGCAUGUUAUUUUGUGUUGCAUAAGUAAGUGUGUUCUAACUUGUAUGUGUGUCCUUGGCCAAGGUUUGCAAAUAUCGAGAGAUGCUUUGCUUUAGAAUGUCCUUCGUUGAAACGUCUAAAUAUAUCUAUUCUGUCACAAACUAGACGCUUGCUAUUUGCUAGCUUUUGAAAAGCUUAAAUAUAUGAAUAAUUGUCGAUAUUUAAUUGAGCUGUGCUCAAUCUUAAAGUUGGAUAGGAAUUUUAUUUAAAAUUAGUAUUAUUUGAUUAGUCAAGCACCAUAUCACGGCGCUUUUAGUGAUCUCUUACACAAAAAUAAUUAAAUAAAACCUUUGAAUUCAUUUCAAUUCUUAGAAAAGUAGGUGAUAUUAACUGAUCAACCAAAGUAUACAAAGUUAUUAAGUUAAUGGAAAAUUAAUACUUUUCAAAUCAGUAUGUACUGAAAACAUUCCAAAAGUGACGACAUAUGAAACUCCUGAUUUACAAUAUAAAAGGCAAAAUGAAAACUGAUCAUUCCAUAUUAUUCAUUCCUGAAGUAUUUUCUAAAAUUGAUAGUUAUUGACCGGAUCAAAAACUUCAAAUUGUAGGCCUGUAAUGAAAGACUACUACUCAAUUUAUUAUAUGCUUGACAAAAUAUAGUACGUGGAAAUUGAUAUUUGAACAUCGAUACUAAAAAGAGGUAGGUAUGUACUGUUAUACUUCAACUCCUUUUAUAAAUAAAUGAUCAGAUGAAGAGAAGAAUGGGUUAAAAAUGCCCUUUCCUCAUAACUAAGCAUUUUUGUCUAAUAUCCAUAUAAUACAUAGAGUAUGUAAUAAAAAUCCUUGAUCUUAGCUUAUACGUAUUUAUGUAAAAAUGGCUUUUUAUAUGAAUUGACGUGUAAUAGAUGCGGGAUCACAUAAGUCUCAUAAUUCCUUGCCGAACGAAUAUAAACAUUAUGUUUGUGAAAAUAAAGUCGAAAAUUCAGAAACAUCGUCGCAUUAUAUUCAUCGUCAUUAUUUUAAAUGCGACCUUAAAUCAACGCAAAUAAUGUUUUAUUUUCUUCGGCAGAUACUAGUUAGAAAUAAGUGUACAGGAUAAGUAAAAGUAAGUUCGUGUCGAGUAAGAUAAAUACUGUAUAAUACGAUAUAACCUUACCAUAUGUGUCAAAAGUACAAAAUAGUCGUUACCAAAGAGUUAUUCGAUCAUAAUAAUUAUUUUGAGAUUAUUGUCAUUUGUACCAUCAUUUAAACCAGUAAUAUUUAAUAAGCUUAACACAACAACUACCUUAUUCUUCUUGUAAAAAGAUCAAUUUACCUAAAUCGCCAUAGCAGGCUACUUUUGGAAAAGUAUAGCGGAUACAACCAAUUAUAAUCAUGUAAAAAUGUAUGAUUUUGUGUAAAUGUAAUAACAAUAAUAUUAUACAUCGAUAUUUAAUUCUUUUAUUAUAUUUUAGCUCAAUUUAUUACCAUUAUGAGUUUUAAAUGUAUUCUAUGUUAGUAAAUUAAUGUGUAGUGUUGCUAGUAUACAUACUUAAUAGGUAAAUAUAAUUUGUAAAUAAGAAAAAUAUUAUAAACUAUAGUGGGAUUGAUGGUCGUUACUCCCCGCCUUACCCCUCGGCUGGGCAAAGAGCAUUGGGACACCGUUCGUUCAGUAAUUUGCUUCUAAAAAUGAUAAUUAUCGUAAAGUGUAUAUUAGUAGUGCGCUUAAUGAAGUCACAAUUUCAGUUUCUAAGCUUACGCCUAGCACCAAACACUCCUAAUAUCUUAAUCUUUCGUUCUAAGAUAUUGAAUGUCGACGCAACUUAGCAAAAAUAAAACCCUUCUUAGUCGUCGAAUAAAAAGACAAAAGUUCUUAAUAAUGUCACAAAAAUAGGCAUGAAUUGCAACUUUGCUUUUGUUAGUAUAAUUUUAUUUUAAAGCACUUUUUUUAGUGAUAUAAAGAACAAAUGAUAUUUCAGUCUGUAGUAUAAUAAUGUACGUGUAUGAAAAAAAUCCAAAAUAUUAAUUGUAAGGUCAACAGUAGAAAAAAAGACGAAGAAAUGUAGAAUACGGACGAAAAAUAGAUGAUACAAGAUUUUGCAUUGUGUAAAAUAAGACAAAUAAAACUGCAAUAUUAUGCAGUAACAGAGCAGAAAUCCGACACUACUCUUUGGUAUCGUCGUCGGCCAUAACCGUUAUAUUUAUUUCGAUGUAGAAACUCGGAACUUUUCUGAAUGUCUCAUGUUUAGUUACCACCCCAUAUUUUAUUCUCAUCGGUAGUUACAGUGCCAAAUGUCCGUCAUAUAUUCUUGACACAUCCAGCAUUUAAAAUAAUUAUCUAAUUAAUUGAAAUAGCCCAAUAACUCUGAGAUAUUAUACAUUGUACAUGCCUAGGUCAUAUGUUCGUCGACACCAUCCAAAUGUAGAACAUAGUAUUAGAGAAGGUAAGGCCAGCCUUGAUUCAAAGUUUUACCAACCUGUUGUAACUAUGUAAUAUGUAUAUUCUGUAUCGUAGCAAAGGUAUUUUUUUGUAAUAAAAGUAUUUUGUAACCGG
rnacentral:misc_RNA from 1 species